UGGGGAAUAUUGGACAAUGGGCGCAAGCCUGAUCCAGCCAUGCCGCGUGAGUGAUGAAGGGCCUUAGGGUUGUAAAGCUCUUUCGCCGGUGAAGUAAUGACGGUAACCGGAGAAGAAGCCCCGGCUAACUUCGUGCCAGCAGCCGCGGUAAUACGAAGGGGGCUAGCGUUGCUCGGAAUCACUGGGCGUAAAGCGCACGUAGGCGGAUCGUUAAGUCAGGGGUGAAAUCCUGGAGCUCAACUCCAGAACUGCCCUUGAUACUGGCGAUCUCGAGUUCGAGAGAGGUUGGUGGAACUCCGAGUGUAGAGGUGAAAUUCGUAGAUAUUCGGAAGAACACCAGUGGCGAAGGCGGCCAACUGGCUCGAUACUGACGCUGAGGUGCGAAAGCGUGGGGAGCAAACAGGAUUAGAUACCCCUGGUAGUCCACGCCCUAA
rnacentral:rRNA from 1 species